GACGAACGCUGGCGGCGUGCUUAACACAUGCAAGUCGAACGAUGAAGCCGGAGCUUGCUCUGGUGAAUUAGUGGCGAACGGGUGAGUAACACGUGAGUAACCUGCCCUUGACUCUGGGAUAACUGCGGGAAACUGUUGCUAAUACCGGAUACGACCCUCGGAGGCAUCUCCUGGGGGUGGAAAGAAUUUCGGUCAAGGAUGGACUCGCGGCCUAUCAGCUAGUUGGUGAGGUAAAGGCUCACCAAGGCGACGACGGGUAGCCGGCCUGAGAGGGUGACCGGCCACACUGGGACGGAGACACGGCCCAGACUCCUACGGGAGGCAGCAGUGGGGAAUAUUGCACAAUGGGCGCAAGCCUGAUGCAGCAACGCCGCGUGAGGGAUGACGGCCUUCGGGUUGUAAACCUCUUUUAGCAGGGAAGAAGCGAAAGUGACGGUACCUGCAGAAAAAGCACCGGCUAACUACGUGCCAGCCGCCGCCGCGG
rnacentral:rRNA from 1 species